rnacentral:rRNA from 1 species
AUUAGAUACCCUGGUAGUCCACGCCGUAAACGAUGAGUGCUAAGUGUUAGAGGGUUUCCGCCCUUUAGUGCUGAAGUUAACGCAUUAAGCACUCCGCCUGGGGAGUACGGCCGCAAGGCUGAAACUCAAAGGAAUUGACGGGGGCCCGCACAAGCGGUGGAGCAUGUGGUUUAAUUNGAAGCAACGCGAAGAACCUUACCAGGUCUUGACAUCCUCUGAAAACCCUAGAGAUAGGGCUUCUCCUUCGGGAGCAGAGUGACAGGUGGUGCAUGGUUGUCGUCAGCUCGUGUCGUGAGAUGUUGGGUUAAGUCCCGCAACGAGCGCAACCCUUGAUCUUAGUUGCCAUCAUUAAGUUGGGCACUCUAAGGUGACUGCCGGUGACAAACCGGAGGAAGGUGGGGAUGACGUCAAAUCAUCAUGCCCCUUAUGACCUGGGCUACACACGUGCUACAAUGGACGGUACAAAGAGCUGCAAGACCGCGAGGUGGAGCUAAUCUCAUAAAACCGUUCUCAGUUCGGAUUGUAGGCUGCAACUCGCCUACAUGAAGCUGGAAUCGCUAGUAAUCGCGGAUCAGCAUGCCGCGGUGAAUACGUUCCCGGGCCUUGUACACACCGCCCGUCACACCACGAGAGUUUGUAACACCCGAAGUCGGUGGGGUAACCUUUUUGGAGCCAGCCGC